rnacentral:snRNA from 1 species
UUAGUGACGCGCAUGAAU